AGAUUAUUUGCAGCCAUUUGUUUGACAAUAUCUUCUAGUGAAGGUCCAGAAGGUGCAGAGUACACAACCUCAAAUUCCUUUAGAUGCUCAUGUGGAUCCUCACCUGCAAGACCACUAAACCUUGGAAACAAAUGUAUUAAACCAGAUUUCAAUUCAAAAGGAACCGAAACAUCAGAAUAUUCAAUACAAAAGUCAUUAUAAUUAACAUCAGGAGCAGCAAACUGCCUUAAUGUUCUUUGAUCAUCCAUGUAAUAAAAAAAAC
rnacentral:lncRNA from 1 species